AAUACAUUGGUCCUCUAGGGAAGCAGAUCAUCUCCUGAGGCUUCACUUCAACUUCACUACUUCUGGAGUCUCAUCUUGAGUGAAAGAGGACCCAGCCAACUAUGAAGUUCCUUGUCUUUGCCUUCCUCUUGGCUUUCAUGGUUUCCAUGAUUGGAGCUGAUUCAUCUGAAGAGAAAUAUCGUAGAUGGGAAAAAUACAAUUGGUAUCGCCCUUAUCCACAGCCAUAUCGACAGCCAUUUCCACAACCAUACCAACCACAAUACCAACCACAACCAAACCCAUACCAGCCAUAUUCCUUUUAAUAUCAUUAGUAACUGCAGGACAUGAUUAUUGAGGUUUGACUGGCAAAUACAACUUCUACAUGCAUAUUCACAUCCUUCAUACCAAGCCACACUAUCACCACUUUUUGAAAAAUUGUCAAAGAACAAUGCAAAUGAAGAAAGACUAUAAUUUACAGUAUACUCUUUGUUUCAGGAUACUUGCCUUUUAAGUUAUCAUUUGAUGAUAUAAUUGAAAUUUAAUUGUUAAGCUGUUUUCAGUUUUGUUCUGAGUAAUCAAAAUCACUUCUCAAAAAGCAAUAAAUUUCAAGCAUAUUCUUA